GAUGAACGCUGGCGGCGUGCCUAAUACAUGCAAGUCGAGCGAAUGGAUAAAGAGCUUGCUCUUAUGAAGUUAGCGGCGGACGGGUGAGUAACACGUGGGUAACCUGCCCAUAAGACUGGGAUAACUCCGGGAAACCGGGGCGAAUACCGGAUAACAUUUUGAACCGCAUGGUUCGAAAUUGAAAGGCGGCUUCGGCUGUCACUGAUGGAUGGACCCGCGUCGCAUUGGCCAUUUGGUGAGGUAACGGCCAACCAAGGCAACGAUGCGUAGCCGACCUGAGAGGGUGAUCGGCCACACUGGGACGGAGACACGGCCCAGACUCCUACGGGAGGCAGCAGUAGGGAAUCUUCCGCAAUGGACGAAAGUCUGACGGAGCAACGCCGCGCGAGUGAUGAAGGCUUUCGGGUCGUAAAACUCUGUUGUUAGGGAAGAACAAGUGCUAGUUGAAUAAGCUGGCACCUUGACGGUACCUAACCAGAAAGCCACGGCUAACUACGUGCCAGCCGCCGCCGUAA
rnacentral:rRNA from 1 species